CAACCCUACGCGGAUGUGGACUAUGCACCUGCAAUGCUACGAGGAUGCUGACUAUGCACCUGCGACCACGGCCUGACAAGAUCCCCUCUGCAUCACGGGCAGCGCAGGGCAAGGAACGGGAGAAUAGGGGGAUUUUCAGUCCCAUUUCUCAGUUCGAUCAGGGACUAUCACUCUCCAGACUCAGCAGAUGGCAGACCAGACAGCUUUGUCUGAUGAGCUAAUUAGUUUUCAGCACCUCAUUGUCACCUCACAGUGGCAUCUCGGAUAAAAGCUUAAGGUGCCGAAUGUUUAAGGGGCUUAUCUGAAUUCGGUAAAGUGUGUUCUUUAACUUAACUUUAUCUGCACAGGAGACAUUUGAAGAGAAUGAAGACUGAGGAGAAAAUGCUCACAAAGUAGCCCAUCUCCAACUUGUGAAUGUUGUGAAAAUGCGAGGUGUUUCCACACCAAACUCAAAGAAGCCACAUUUUGGAGUCAAAAGAAACAGGGACCCGUAAACCUAAAUUCCAGUUUCUUCGCCGCCCUUAACUGAGUGGCUGGAGGAGGUCAGUGUCUCUAUUCUCUUAUCUACAAUGUGAAGUCCUUGGAUGAAGUGGACAAACCUACAAUUUUUGCCUCCAGCUGGAAAAUUCUCCUAUUUCACGAACACCUAAUUAGGGUCAACUCCUCAGCCUUCUAAAAGCACACUUCUGAAAUGCAGUUUUUUUCCGAUAGAAUAAAUUUCAAAAUCGCUGAGCAUUAAGAAGCUUUUCCUUUUUAACAGAGCCUAAUUGCCUUGGCAGACCCAUCUGUCUCCAGCAUCGGCAUCUCACGUACCACAUGCCCAAGUGCACUGGGUGAGCUGGCAACCUCCUGAGCCUGAUCGACAGAAAGCUGGAGGUCCAUGGGGGUUGGAUGGCAGCCCCGCUUAAAUCUCUUUGCUGGAAAUUUCACUAAAGAAGACAGCUGGUGCCUAAGAUUCCCAGGGCACCUGCCAUGCUUGCUGAGCAGGAGUAUAAUCAGAACAUCCUGCUCACCUGGCACGGGGCUGGUUCAAAGAUGCUUCCCUGAUGAACCAAUUAGAGGACCAACAACUUCAGUCUAACCCUUCAGGUUGACCUGGGCAUGAUUCAAGCACAUUUGCAGCUGCCUGCUGUGUCCAUGAGGAUAAAUAAAGCCUGAUGGAGCAGAGGAGCA
rnacentral:lncRNA from 1 species